GUCGUAACAAGGUUUCCGUAGGUGAACCUGCGGAAGGAUCAUUACAGUAGUCGCCCGGGUUGCCGCAAGGCCUCCCGGGUAACCUACCACCCUUUGUUUAUCACACUUUGUUGCUUUGGCAGGCCUGCCCUCGGGCUGCUGGCUCCGGCCGGCGAGCGCCUGCCAGAGGACCUAAACUCUGUUUGUCUAUACUGUCUGAGUACUAUAUAAUAGUUAAAACUUUCAACAACGGAUCUCUUGGUUCUGGCAUCGAUGAAGAACGCAGCGAAAUGCGAUAAGUAAUGUGAAUUGCAGAAUUCAGUGAAUCAUCGAAUCUUUGAACGCACAUUGCGCCCCCUGGUAUUCCGGGGGGCAUGCCUGUCCGAGCGUCAUUACAACCCUCAAGCUCAGCUUGGUGUUGGGCCCCGCCGCCCCGGCGGGCCCUAAAGUCAGUGGCGGUGCCGUCCGGCUCCGAGCGUAGUAAUUCUUCUCGCUCUGGAGGCCCGGUCGCGUGCCCGCCAGCAACCCCCAAUUUUUUUCAGGUUGACCUCGGAUCAGGUAGGGAUACCCGCUGAACUUAAGCAUAUC
rnacentral:rRNA from 1 species